CCGGGACGGACGAACCUCUGGUGUGCCAGUUGUCCUGCCAAGGGCAUGGCUGGUUGGCUACGUUCGGAAAGGAUAACCGCUGAAAGCAUCUAAGCGGGAAGCCUGCUUCGAGAUGAGUAUUCCCACCCCCUUUGAGGGGUUAAGGCUCCCAGUAGACGACUGGGUUGAUAGGCCAGAUGUGGAAGCCCGGUAACGGGUGGAGCUGACUGGUACUAAUAGGCCGAGGGCUUGUCCUCAGUUG
rnacentral:rRNA from 1 species